UAGUCCACGCCGUAAACGAUGGAUACUAGUUGUUUGGAUUUCGAUCUGAGUGACUAAGCGAAAGUGAUAAGUAUCCCACCUGGGGAGUACGUUCGCAAGAAUGAAACUCAAAGGAAUUGACGGGGGCCCGCACAAGCGGUGGAGCAUGUGGUUUAAUUCGAUGAUACGCGAGGAACCUUACCAGGGCUUAAAUGUAGAUUGACAGGUUUAGAGAUAGACUUUUCUUCGGACAAUUUACAAGGUGCUGCAUGGUUGUCGUCAGCUCGUGCCGUGAGGUGUCAGGUUAAGUCCUAUAACGAGCGCAACCCCUGCCGUUAGUUGCCAGCAUUUAAAGAUGGGGACUCUAACGGGACUGCCGGUGCAAACCGUGAGGAAGGUGGGGAUGACGUCAAAUCAUCACGGCCCUUACGUCCUGGGCUACACACGUGCUACAAUGGCCGGUACAGAGAGCAGCCAGUGAGCAAUCACGCGCGAAUCUACAAAACCGGUCACAGUUCGGAUCGGGGU
rnacentral:rRNA from 1 species